rnacentral:rRNA from 1 species
UGAUGCAGCAACGCCGCGUGAGGGAUGACGGCCUUCGGGUUGUAAACCUCUUUUAGCAAGGAAGAAGCGAAAGUGACGGUACUUGCAGAAAAAGCACCGGCUAACUACGUGCCAGCAGCCGCGGUAAUACGUAGGGUGCAAGCGUUAUCCGGAAUUAUUGGGCGUAAAGAGCUCGUAGGCGGUUUGUCGCGUCUGCUGUGAAAUCUGGGGGCUCAACCCCCAGCCUGCAGUGGGUACGGGCAGACUAGAGUGCGGUAGGGGAGAUUGGAAUUCCUGGUGUAGCGGUGGAAUGCGCAGAUAUCAGGAGGAACACCGAUGGCGAAGGCAGAUCUCUGGGCCGUAACUGACGCUGAGGAGCGAAAGGGUGGGGAGCAAACAGGCUUAGAUACCCUGGUAGUCCACCCCGUAAACGUUGGGAACUAGUUGUGGGGACCAUUCCACGGUUUCCGUGACGCAGCUAACGCAUUAAGUUCCCCGCCUGGGGAGUACGGCCGCAAGGCUAAAACUCAAAGGAAUUGACGGGGACCCGCACAAGCGGCGGAGCAUGCGGAUUAAUUCGAUGCAACGCGAAGAACCUUACCAAGGCUUGACAUAUUCGAGAACGCCGUAGAAAUACGGAACUCUUUGGACAC